AGAGUUUGAUCCUGGCUCAGGAUGAACGCUAGCUACAGGCUUAACACAUGCAAGUCGAGGGGCAGCAUGAACUUAGCUUGCUAAGUUUGAUGGCGACCGGCGCACGGGUGAGUAACACGUAUCCAACCUGCCGAUGACUCGGGGAUAGCCUUUCGAAAGAAAGAUUAAUACCCGAUGGCAUAGUUCUUCCGCAUGGUGGAACUAUUAAAGAAUUUCGGUCAUCGAUGGGGAUGCGUUUCAUUUAGG
rnacentral:rRNA from 1 species